rnacentral:rRNA from 1 species
GAUGAACGCUGGCGGCGUGCUUAACACAUGCAAGUCGAACGGUGAGGGCGGAGCUUUCUCUGCUGGAUCAGUGGCGAACGGGUGAGUAACACGUGAGCAAUCUGCCCCUGACUCUGGGAUAAGCGCUGGAAACGGCGUCUAAUACUGGAUACGAGCUGCUAAGGCAUCUUCAGCAGCUGUAAAGAAUUGCGGUCAGGGAUGGGCUCGCGGCCUAUCAGCUUGUUGGGGGGGUAAUGGCUCACCAAGGCUUCGAGGGGUAGCCCGCCUGAGAGGGUGACCGGCGACCAUGGGACUGAGACACGGCGCAGAAGGCUACGGGAGGCAAUAGGGGGGAAUAUUGCAGAAUGGGCGAAAGCCUGAUGCAGCAACGUCGGGUGCGGGAAGACGGCUUUCGGGUUGUAAACCACUUUUAGCGGGAAAAAAGACAAAGUGACGGUACCUGCAGAAAAAGCGACGGCUAACUACGUG